CGCCAAGGCGCUUCAGUCGUGUCCGACUCUGUGCGACCCCAGAGACGGCAGCCCACCAGGCUCCCCCGUCCCUGGGAUUCUCCAGGCAAGAACCCUGGAGUGGGUUGUCAUUUCCUUCUCCAGUGCAUGAAGUGAAAAGUGAAAGUGAAGUCGCUCAGUCUUGUCUGACUCUUAGCGACCCCGUGGACUGCAGCCUACCAACUACAGAGGCGUUAUUCACAAAACAUGGGGCCAUUACUUGGAAUAGCCUCUAUUCCAAGUAACGUUUGCUGGGGUGUGCAGGAGGUUGUCUUGACGAAACGAACGCGUCAUCUAUACGGCGUCAUUUUACAUGUGACAGAAGAAUGGUAUCGGGGGCGUGUGAGAGGACGUGGGAUUCCGGCGGAACUUUCUUGACAUUUGACCCACUUUUGAGACAAACGGAAA
rnacentral:lncRNA from 1 species